CCUACGGGGCGCACCAGUAGGGAAUCUUCGGCAAUGGACGAAAGUCUGACCGAGCAACGCCGCGUGAGAGAAGAAGGUUUUCGGAUCGUAAAACUCUGUUGUUAGAGAAGAACAAGUAGGAGAGUAUCUGCUCUUACCUUGACGGUAUCUAACCAGAAAGCCACGGCUAACUACGUGCCAGCAGCCGCGGUAAUACGUAGGUGGCAAGCGUUGUCCAGAUUUAUUGGGCGUAAAGCGAGCGCAGGCGGUCUUUUAAGUCUGAUGUGAAAGCCCUCGGCUCAACCGAGGAAGGUCAUUGGAAACUGGAGGACUUGAGUGCAGAAGAGGAGAGUGGAAUUCCAUGUGUAGCGGUGAAAUGCGUAGAUAUAUGGAGGAACACCAGUGGCGAAGGCGACUCUCUGGUCUGUAACUGACGCUGAGGCUCGAAGCGUGGGGAGCAAACAGGAUUAGAUACCCGCGUAGUC
rnacentral:rRNA from 1 species